ensembl:lncRNA
CUCAAACAGUAUGUCUGUAUAUAAGGAUGCAAGUCAGCUGCUGCCUUGGGCACAUCGUUUCUAUGGUUGGAAGCGUAGUGUACUAAUGCUUGGAAUGCUGCUGCACCAUCAGCAGCAGGCUUAAGUUCAACAGGCAACAUGGGCUUCUUCCUUUCCUAGUGAUUAGACGGCCGGGCUGAAUGCGUGGCACCUGGCUGACAAUGGAUUAAGCAGCAAGAGAGACACACACACAGAGCGAGCCCUUCAGCGAAGAUACUGCACCGUCUGCAUCCCUGACGCUUUAUCAGCCACCAGCACUCAACUGCUCUGCGCAGCAGCAGCGUUUCCUCCUUACCACUGGAUCUCUGUAAUGGAGGGGAGCAGCAGCCAGAUGGUACAUUACUAGUUAGAUCCUUUCUAGUCUGGUAGCUCCCCCCCCAUCGCGCACCUCUCACUUGCUUGAGAAGUUGCCUGUUCUCUCCUGAUGUGAAUCACCUCCGAUUAGAGGGGACCGCGGCUCUGUAGUUAGGAAUUGCCAGCUCGCAAAAGUUUCUAGGCAGGAAGCUGGCUCCACGCAACUGGGGUGGAGGAGGAGGAGGAGGAGGAAAAAAAAAGUUUCGCUCACUUCUCUCCUUGGCGGAGCCCCUCCCCGCUCCGAGGGGAGAGCUAGAGAUGCUGCUACUUGCAACAGGCUGCUAUAGUAGCAGCGGCAGCCCGAGUAACACGUCCCCAGGAGACUAGCAGGAGCAACACGUGAUGUGUCUACUUAUCAGGGGAGAAGCGGACGAAGGGAAGUUACUGUGGAGUUGAUGAACUUUGCACAUCCACAGAAACGCCAUUUUGAUUCCAUUUUCCGGAACAACUUUGCGUCUCUUUCCCCCCCCCUUCACCAACCCAUCAUCAGCGCAUCAUGUCUCGACGCAAACAGCCCAGCCCCAGCAAAAGCAAGCACUCUCUACCAACCAGCAGCACCAGCAGCAGCGUUUUGCCUGCAGCAGGACCUGAUGCUCAUCCAUAUUAAACCGUCUGAGCUCAGGAAUCCGGCCAGAUCAUCUCCCCCUCCUGCUGCAAAGUUUAUUUUUAACCAGCAACCACCGCAAUUUGGAUACGGCUGCGAGGAAGAAACCUCUUUUAACCCAACUCAUCCCUUCCUCCUACACUACAGACUCCCCUUUCCCUUAGCCUUUUUUCAUUUUUAUUCCCCCCCCUUUUUGGGGGGGGAGGAGUUGGAUUUAAAAAAACGUGAGAUGAAGGCUCCUCUUUCAAGGUAGAAAACGUUUUAUUCUGUACAUCUCUUUGCUAACUUUUCAGCUUGUUUCGUUGAUGAAGCAUCCAUGUGUGUCUUUAAUUUGCACUUUGAUACCUCUCUUCUCAACCCCGCUCCGCCCUUGGGAGGGAGGUGCGGAC